rnacentral:lncRNA from 1 species
AAACUAUCACUUAUUAUGCUAAUAGUUUUCUUUUUAUAAACUGUGGGAAUUAGUAUCUUGAUAAACUUUCUAUUAUUAUUGUAUAUAUGAACUUGGUCCACUGACCUUUGUUUUGCGCUCCCAUUCAGGACUUAGAAUCGAGGCAUAUAAUCCCUGCGUCAAGGCACUUCCGCAGCGAUAUCUUCGAGUGCUCUUGGUAUAGGACUUAGGGGUGGUUUGGGAGUGAGGUGCUUAAAAAAAAAGCACCCAUGAAAAAAAGCUGUGAGGGUUUUAGGUGUUUGGUAAACUGAAAAAAAUGGCUUAUUUUGGAAGCUGCUGUGAGAAUAAGUUGAAAUCAAAGGAAAA